rnacentral:lncRNA from 1 species
GUGUACUUGACGCAGUUCAUGCACGCUGGGUGGCAACCCUGGUACGAGAUGUCCAGGCAAUUGCAAUCUGGUGGAUUCUUCCUGUUGCAGAAGCCGCAUUGGUUGCAGCACGGCCAGGAGCUCGCGUUCGCGGCGGCGUCGGCGACCGCCGCCGCUCCUCCCUCCUCCCCACUCCCUGCGGCCACCAAAGAUUAGUCAACGCAUCCAGUUGAGUUGAGUUGAGUGUCAAACUGUUAAUUUCUCACCUUUGCUGAUGAGUGGCAGAGCUGCGAGGACGGCGAGGACAGCCAGUGUGACGAGCAACACCUGAGGUCUCAUGCUUGUUUCUCUUGGUAUGUAGGAACAGGGUGUUGCCAAGUUUG